rnacentral:rRNA from 1 species
UACGGAGGGUCCAAGCGUUAUCCGGAAUCAUUGGGUUUAAAGGGUCCGUAGGCGGUUUUGUAAGUCAGUGGUGAAAGCCCAUCGCUCAACGGUGGAACGGCCAUUGAUACUGCAAGACUUGAAUUAUUGGGAAGUAACUAGAAUAUGUAGUGUAGCGGUGAAAUGCUUAGAGAUUACAUGGAAUACCAAUUGCGAAGGCAGGUUACUACCAAUAUAUUGACGCUGAUGGACGAAAGCGUGGGGAGCGUAACGA